GUUCACUACACCCUUCAUCAGCUUCUGAAUCCGUGGAAUCCAAUACUUGGAUCGGAUAAGUCGCAUCAUCAAUUGGCUGCCUCGUAUGACCCCAUGUUGAUCCAUGAACGGAUUCAAAUUCAGGAUAGAACUUGAUCGAGCCACUGGACGCUUCUCACGUAAGGAGUGAUACUCUUGAGGAUAUUCUCGGCGCUGAGUUUCUAGGAUAAGAGUUCGUUCAGCCUCGUUAACUUCUCCGCUUGUAGGAUGGGUAUCCUUUGCGUACGGUCGUUUUCGGCAGCGCUGUGGAACACGCAGGACGUACGCGCGGACUCGCAGAGCUUUUUCAAAUCUCAGAAUUUCAGAAUCGCUCGAGGAAAUCUUCGGAUGGGCUGGUUGUGAAAUGGACUUUCACAGCCCGCUGCUCUAGGUCUAUGACAGGGGUUUCCUGAUCUUGGAGCUUCCAUUGACAGCGUGGUUGCUGUAACCAAGCUUCCUGCAUGAAGAUCUUGGAGCGGACUAUGAACGGUGCCAGCCACCCUGCAGAAUCAAACAAUUUCGCUAUCUGCGAGAGGACUUCUCGCUUGGUGUAGGAUGACUCAAGCGAGAGCACAGGAGGAACAAAGAAGAACUCGUCGGAGGUAGCCUUCCAGCGAAUGCCGAGGGUCUUUGCCGUGCUAUGUGCGUCAAUCUCCAGGAAAUCAUUAUGGAGGAGGUGGUCACUCGGAAUCUAGGCCAAUACGUCCUUGUGGUUGGCUGUCCACUUUCGUAGCGGAAAACUGAGGGCGGCCUGUAAUUCGCGGAUGGCUAGCUGAGCCUCCUGGGUGGAGUCAGCGCCGGCUAGGACAUCGUCGACAUACAUAAAGUGCCGUAUGAUAUGACUCGCCCUCGGGAAUUGCGAUUGGACGUCUUUGGAAAGCUGUUGAAGGACUCGAAUGGCGAGAAAGGGGGCGCAGUUGACAACAAAGGUGACGGUUUUCAAUUCGUAAUCACGAAUUUCCCCCUCUGCGUUUCGAAACAAGAUUCUCUGGAAACGAGUGUGUUCUGGAUCCACCCAGAUCUGACGGUACAUUUUGGUGAUGUCGGCGUAGUAGUCGUUGGAGUCGUGGCUCGGAGGAACCUCUGUCAUGUGGCCCAGAUCUAAGUAUUCUUGGAUUACGGAAACGUACUGUUCGUGCAAUGGCGAAUCUUUCUUCAACCGAUUCUCGUUCCUCAAGAACUGGGCUAGUGAGAUGGACCUUGAAUACCCUAGGUUAGACCCGAGAUGACCCGUUUCGCGGAAUGGUAGGGUUACCAUGUAUUUUCCGCUUGUUGCCCUUGUGGUGGUUUGUAGGAAGUUGCUUUCGCAAUAGGAAUCGUACUCUCCUACUACCUUGGUUGGUAGAUCCUCCACCUCCCAAAACUUUGUGAGAAGCUUGUCUAAUGGAACAUCGAGGACGCUGGACACUUGUGUGGAGAAAGAUGCAAUUCGGUUCGGGGCGGUACUGGGCACCGGACCAGUAAGCAACCACCCGAAAAUCGUUUCCUUCCCAAGGAGAGUGCCACAAAUGUCGGAAUGUGAGCCGCUCAGAAGGAUGGAGGAAAGGAUAUCGGCUCCGAUCAGGUCAUCUAUUUGCGAGCUCUCAUAGAAGGUGGGAUCAGCUAAUGGCAGGUUCGGUAAAUCUCGCAAUGCACUUAGCGGAAUUGGAUAUGAAGGGAGAUUGCCUGCCAGUUCCGGUAGUACGUAAGCCGCGGCGUUUAACUGCAAGCCCGGCUUAGUCGGGCAGCGAAUGGAAAAGUGGCACAGCUUCUUGGACUGAGCUGCUACAGACUGACUCAGGCCUGAGACUUGUGCCUGAAUAAUGCAGAAUGGAAGUUUGAUGAUGUUAAAAAACCGUUCCGUACAAACGUUCCGUUAAGCACAACUGCUUCGUCUUGAUGCAGCUUGAACGUGCUUCAACUUUCAUUUGGAGGAAGUGCGGGCAGAGUCGGUCCGUGUGAUUCUCCUUUGAAUAGAGAUCACACUUCUUCGAAUUCACGUGGGUCUUAAAGGAGUGAAAGUUCCUCGGAGGAGGACUGCCUUGAGACCGGAACGGGUUGGCGUGGCUUCCGGAAGGUUGCGGAUUUUGACUGCCUUUGGACGGUGGCGGAUGCGGAUCGCUUCUAGUCUGGGAAGGGUCGCUCUACAUGGCCUCUAGCGUCAAGUACCGCUGUGUGAGGAAGCAGUCGAUUUCCGUCCAUGGAGGCAUUUCCUUCUUGUCAGUCAUUGACGCUUUCCACAGAGCCCGGGUCAGCUCUGGCAGCUUGGAUGGUCACCAGAAGACUAUCCCAAUUGUCUGUGCAGACCUUGGAGUGGGCCAGAGCGGUUAGAACCCCUUGAAUGGUUCUUUGAAGCUCUUUCAAGGCACGACUUUCGGAACCCACGCGAGGCAGCAAUAAAAGGAUAUUUAUUUGAUUGGUCACCAGGAGUCGAUUAUUUUCAUAUCGACCACGGAGGGAUGACCAUGCUGCCUCGAAACCGUCGUUGGCAAGUUUGGACUUUUCUAAUAUGGCUUUCGGAUCGCCACGGGUCUUAGUAGUGAGGUGUAACAGCUUUUCCACCGAGGACAGCCUCGGAUUGUUAAUAUAAAUAGCUGUGAAAACGUGCGGAACGCCAAUCACGGAAGGAUUCGAUAGGCGGAUUCAAUAUGAGCGUACUUAUCUGCAGGUUAUCUUUAUUUGGAAUCCACCGAUGCUUGCUGGGACAAUCUCGCUUCAGCAAGAAUCCGGCUCGAAGGACCAAUGAUUGUAGUAGGGCGGCUUCCUUCGCUGCAGAUAACUGCUCGGUCCCGAAACGAGUCGACGCAGUAUAGAUGGAUAUAUAUGUGGGGGUUUAUGUUUAUUGUUUAUAAGUAAAGGUUAAUAAGUGAUUAAGUAUGGUAUAACGGUACAAGAAUUAGAUAUCUGCGUCGUUCGUCGUCUGGUCUCGCACACAACCUUUUACGUCGGAGGUUGGAUAGAAACUCCUCUCGGCGCUCUCUCGCCGAUCGGUUGUCCGCUCUCGCUCUCAUCUCGCUCUCCUUCGUCUUCUCUUUGCGUUUGCUCUCUUGUUUGGAAUUCGCAAUGAAGCGAAUUCGCCCUUGCUCGUUUUGGUGUUUUGUCUAGGGAUCGCAAUUGGCAAAACCCAGCCCACAUCCGGCCAUCCUGACUAUGCACUCGCCUCGAAUGCAUCGUCGCUAUCGUCGUCAUUGCUCGUGGACCAUGGCUUCAGGUACUCCGCACACGAAGAGGAGUGCUUUGGACCAUCGGAAUUGCCGACUUUUUUGACGUCGUAAGCAUUGUUAUGCUUCACCUUAAUGAUCUGGUAAGGACCCAAAAACUUUGGCUUAAGUUUGAGUCCUCUUUAUGGCAACUAGGUCGCCAACGUCGUAAUGUCUGGGUGGUUUACGUCGCAAGUUAUACGUCUUCUUGUUCUCGGCUUGCAGAUUCAGAAUUUGAGUUUUCGCUUUAGCCCGUAGCUCAUUGCGGUCGUCUUCAAAUGCAAUGAUGGACUCCUCCUGGAUCAAACUCUGAAGCUGCUGGUCAUCUUUGGUGCGCAUCUUGAUACCCAUCAGAAGCUCAAAAGAAGUUGUAUCGAUGCUUCUGGUGUACGUCGAGUUUAUUGCUCGCUGGACUCGAUCUACGUGCUUAAACCAUUUGGAUGGAUCGUCUACAUUGAGCUUGGCUAGCACGGAGAUGAUCACUGAGUUGAGCCUUUCCACCUGCCCGUUUACCCGGGGCAGUCCGGUAGUCGUCUUCACCAGUUUAAUUUUUUCGUCUUCGCAGUACUGUAGGAAAUCUUGUGCGGUAAACGCCGAACCUCUAUCUGAAAUGAUACAAGCAGGGUUGCCAAACGUCACGCUUUGGCUGCGUAACUUUAAUAUGACCUCGUUAGAUGUAGUAGACUUUGUAGGGUAUAGCCAGAAAAACUUCGUGAAAGCGUCGAUAACAACAAGUAUGUGAUUGUAGCUCUUUCUGGUUGACUCCAGUGGACCCAAAAAGUCGAUGUGAUAGGUCUGCAGCGGCACGUCAUAUUUUCUUGUUUUUGAUGUUUCCGGUUUAUACGUCGUUACUAUUUCGCGAACUUCUUUUCGUGUAAUCUCGUUUAUCGCUUCGUUUAUGUUCAGUUCAGAAUUGUCCACUGCUACGUCGAUUUUCAUUAUGGACGAUCCGUCACACGCACCUUCGUUAUUUUCAUUUGGCAUUUUAUUAACUUUUACUCCAUGGCGAUUAAAUGAUACUUCUGCGUGCAAACAAAGCUCUUCCCCGAUUAUCAACUUAAUAUCCAUGAACUUAGCAGCAACAACAUAAAAUGUCAAAACAUAUUCUUCGUCGUCAAUACGUAUGCUAUGUUCUACUUGACCAAUCGGCUUGAUAUUGUCAGCCUUGCUUUCACUUCCAAAACUGACCAAGCGCACUCUGCAGUUCUUUAAUUUUGGCAUACACAGUUCGUCGUAAAAGUCUUCGCGCAAAAUAUUGAAUUUACUGCCAGUGUUAAAUAGUGCCAUACAUUUCAUAUUUUUAAUCGAAACUUCUUUGGAUGUCAAUUCCGCUCUAUUCAAAAUUACACUCAAGUUUUGUUUUUCUUCGUUUGCCUUCUCACUUUUCUCCUUGCAAUUCUUUGAAAUGUGCCCAAACUGAUUGCACUUGAAGCACUUUUUUCCCUUCUCUUUGCGAGCAACUGCUAGAUACAUGACCCUUCUCUCCGCAGUUGUAACACACGACGUCUUUUUUCCCAGUCUGGGUAUAAUUUUGUCCAACAUACAUCUUCUUAUCUCUUCCCGUCUUCUCACUCUUUUUUAUUUUCUCAUUUAUUUUCUUAUAAUCUUUUAAUUUGUCCUUAAAAUCAGACAUCUUUUUCGCACCAUAUAAAAUAGAUUUAUUUAAUGCCAUCUCGUCGACACCGUCAAUCACGUAUUGCAUAAGUGCGUUGUCUUCGACAUUUCCUCUUGCAGCAAUAUCUCUCAUGCGAUAAAAAUAUUCCAGAACAUUCUCUUUAGGUCGUCGUUUACUCUCGUUGAGUUGCAUGUGUAUCUGUUUGCUAUUUACCUUCGACUGAAACUCAUUCAACAGCGCAAACUUCAAUGUUUCCCAUUAGUUCAAAUGUUUUUCGCUUAAAACAAAUAAUUUGGCAAUGCCUUUCAAAGACUUCUUCGCAAAAAUAAGUUUCUGUAAAUUAGUCCAACGCAUGAACUCAGCCUGCUCUUCAAACUCUGCUAUCCAUUCUUCGACAGCUAUCUGGUCAGAGCCGUCAAACAUUCGGAUAUACUCUUCAAUAUAGCGAAAACUUAUAGCAAAUCGGGGUGCGACCUGCUCAUCGUUGUUUUCCCUUUGUACUUUGCUUCGGCGUUUUUUUUCUUGUCGUCUUGUGUGCAUGUUGCUAUAGUUGUCUCCCUCACUCGUGCGUAUCUCGCAAACACUGCGAAACAUGUCGUUCUCUUGAUCUUCGUUUUCGUCUUCAUCGUUUGCGUUUCAUCAUUCUCUUCAUCAUUGUCGUCGUCUUCGUCGUUUUCGUCGUCGUUGUUGUUGCUUGUCAACAGCUUGCCUUUCAUCAGAUUGCGAAAUAUGUGUAGCAUCAUAUUUUCUGCAUUGUGAUUUAUGCUCAAUAUCACACAUACUGAAACAAGAUCACGGUCCGUCAGCUCCGCUUGUAUGUAUGUGCGCUUCGCUAAAAAUCUGGCGUCGUUUUCGUCGUAUUCGAAUCCACUAAAUUCGCGCAGCCGGCCUCGGUUACCUCUGUCUCCUUCUCUCUCGUACACAAAUUUGUGUAAUGCACAAAUGCUGGAUUUCGUUGCUCCUCGUAGGCUUUUCGGAAUUUACUCGUUUGAACACGUCAUUUUGCUGAGAUAAAAAAAAUCGUCUAUUUAGAUUACUCUGCUUUUUUAAACUUGUUAAUAUCCGCGUCGUUUUCAGAAAUAACGUUUCUUGCACCGCCGUCGUCGUCGUACAGUCACUUAUAGUUUUUCACUUAUUCUUCACACGAUGUUCCUUCACACACGUACGAGCCUCAACAAAUGUGGGGCCUUCUUUAAAUCUUACUUCAAUCCCGGACGAGCCUCCAAAAAUGUGGGGGUUUAUGUUUAUUGUUUAUAAGUAAAGGUUAAUAGGUGAUUAAGUAUGGUAUAACGGUACAAGAAUUAGAUAUCUGCGUCGUUCGUAGUCUGGUCUCGCACACAACCUUUUACGUUGGAGGUUGGAUAGAAACUCCUCUCGGCGCUCUCUCGCCGAUCGGUUGUCCGCUCUCGCUCUCAUCUCGCUCUCCUUCGUCUUCUCUUUGCGUUUGCUCUCUUGUUUGGAAUUCGCAGUGACGCGAAUUCGCCCUUGCUCGUUUUGGUGUUUUGUCUAGGGAUCGCAAUUGGCAAAACCCAGCCCACAUAUAUAUAGGUGGUUUAUUAAGCAGUCACACGCGCGGCGCGGGUGUAGAAUAUGGAAGUAUUUAUGUUUGUGUAUAUGAUGAAUGUAGAUGUAACGUGUAC
rnacentral:lncRNA from 1 species